rnacentral:miRNA from 1 species
GAAAUGCCUCCAUGUGAUCCAGCUGUAAGGCAUUUUCUCAAUUAGAGAUCAGUGGGGUAGUGACCAGCCCAUUGUGGGUGGGGCCAUCUCUGUGCUGGUGGUCCUG